UAGCAAAAAUGAAAAUUAAAAAAGGAUCAAUGGGCAAAGUUUGAACUCAUUUUUGCUGCCCUAAAACUUCACUGUAAAGGCAUUGUUUCUUCACUGUCAAGUCAGUUUUUUGGAGAUUAAAAACCCUGAAAAGUAGAAACGGCUGAGUUGAAACAUACAUAAAUCCCUUGGCAUUUUUUAGUGGAAAUUGGUCUAGUUCUGCUAUCGUUCUUCAGAGUUUGAAAUCUUUUCUAGAAUUUCUUGGCAUUCUGGGUUUAAAAAAUGGUUUAAAGAGACUGAGUUUGCUGUUUUUGCUGAGCUGAUUUUGCUGCUUUUGCUCCUGAUACUUUGCUACUAUUCUCUUCGUCAUUUUGAGCUUAUUUCUUUGUGCUUGAUUGUUGUAAUCGGGUACUCACUGAAUCUUAUUGAGAUAUUAGAAUGGAAGAGUUUUGAAGCUGGCUAAUUCAGUCAAUAUCAAUGAUAUCACUGUUCUUUUAUGCAAUUAUUUGGUUCUGUAAUUAAUUUAACUUUCUUCAUAUUAUAUUUGCUGAUUUCGAUUGUUAGCUUAAGUUCCAUUUGUGAACUUUGUGAGCACCGUUAUUUGAUCGUUUGGUUUAUAAAUGACUUUGAAAUCUUAUUUAUAUUUAUGGACUUUGGGAGUUAUCACAAUAGAAGCUCAGUCCAAAUUAGAUAUGCCUUAGUAUAUACUCGAAUCUGUUGAAAUUAGUUUAUUUUGGAAGCUUGCCUGAGUUUGCUAAAGUAAUAUGAAUGGUUUUUGUGGGAUAAAGAACAUUCAAUUUUAGUUCAUGUUAGUGAAUGUAUUAGUUUCUUGGGAACCAUGUUAGUAUUUUUGUUAUAAAUCAAGGAUUAUGUUAGGCUUCAAGAGAUGACAUAAUCGAGUAUGAGCUAUUA
rnacentral:lncRNA from 1 species